rnacentral:tRNA from 1 species
GGCAAGAUGGCCGAGCGGUCUAAGGCGCCACGUUAAGGUGAACCCUUAAUUCAAUCAUAUGGAUUCCGUGGUCCGAAAGGGCGUGGGUUCGAAUCCCACUCUUGUCA